GAGGAAGUGUCAGAUCUAGGCAGAGGUCUCUUCUCCUUCGCUUCCCAGCACAAAUAGAGACCUCUGCCAGCAGGGAAAGACACUUUCUGAGUGCACACAAAACAAUAUAGCUUGAAUCGAAGCGAACAACGUAAUCCAUUGUAAAUAAGUAGUUUUCCUUGGCGUAGCCUGCGUCACAGACGCUCGCGGGCGGAAAUAUCACAUUACACAGACUAUGUCGUGGACUAUCCUUGACACGGCCUGCAUGCAAAUUUGGGAAGUGCCUAUAUGCAUUUGAAUGGCAGUUUGAAGAUUUUUUAUACAAAUAUUUACAUUCGCGUGACUCGCAAAUUGGACGCAUGCAUGCAGUAUGCUUGAACUGCAGACGUUAAUUUAAUUGAAGAAAAAAUUACUAGCUC